rnacentral:rRNA from 1 species
GAUGAACGCUGGCGGCGUGCUUAACACAUGCAAAUCGAACGGAAAGGCCACAGCUUGCUGUGGUACUCGAGUGGCGAACGGGUGAGUAACACGUGGGUGAUCUGCCCUGUACUUCGGGAUAAGCUUGGGAAACUGGGUCUAAUACCGGAUAGGAAUCACAUGUGGGUGUGUGGUUGGAAAGCUUUUGCGGUAUGGGAUGAGCUCGCGGCCUAUCAGCUUGUUGGUGGGGUAAUGGCCUACCAAGGCGUCGACGGGUAGCCGGCCUGAGAGGGUGUACGGCCACAUUGGGACUGAGAUACGGCCCAGACUCCUACGGGAGGCAGCAGUGGGGAAUAUUGCACAAUGGGCGCAAGCCUGAUGCAGCGACGCCGCGUGGGGGAUGACGGCCUUCGGGUUGUAAACUCCUUUCGUCAGGGACGAAGCGAAAGUGACGGUACCUGGAUAAGAAGCACCGGCUAACUACGUG